ACAUAAGUGAUAUAAAGCAGUUCGGUACGAAUUUUUAGUGCCAAAUUGUCCGUUUUAACAUUUGCAUUACGAAUUUUUUUUGAAUUUUUCCUUAUUGUUUUGAAAAUUCUCUAAAUACACUGAAAACA
rnacentral:sRNA from 1 species